CCGGGCACCAAGUGUGGUGUUACUACUUCAUGAAAAGCUUUGGAGACAGUGCUCCUUUGGCUCCACCUCCGCUACCAGAAACAUGUUACUCAAUGCUUCCUUCUGAUGCACUCAGCACAAAGCAGUGCAAAACACGCCUACGGACACACUGAUAGCAAUUUUAAAUUCUUCAGCUUCUUUGCAGCCCCUUCUCUGCACGUGUCUGAAAGCAGGAAGAUUCACUCCUUUGCCUUUUUUUUUUUUUAACUGCGCUUUUUUUCCCUACCUACAGAUUCCUGCAAUAUCUCCAUUCAUCAAAGCUGAUGGGAGCUUUAGGGAAUUACUGCUGCCACUAUGGAACACGCAGGCUCCUUCACUGCUCCUCCUGCAGAUCCACCUUUCUUCUCCUGGGAAGAACAUCCUAAGGGUUGGAUUCAGUGGUCUUAGAGAUCUUUUCCAAACUUAAUAAUUCAAUGAUCUACAGAACUGUGCAGUAGUUGUAAUGUACAAUGAGACAUUGACCCUUGCUAUUUUAACCAUAGUGUCUGCCAGAAGUCUCAGGUCUUGAUAUCACCUGAUUGCCUGAAAUCCUGUUUUGAUUUAAAACUAAAUUUCUUCUAGCUAAUCUCACUGCAGAUCAAUGAAAAAGACUUGAAACAUUUUAGAAUGUUUCAAGACCUGGAGUAAUAAUAACAAUAAUGGCUUUUCCCCCCUCUUUUAAGUAAAUCUCAGGUGACUUGGACAUGACUUCUGCACACCUGCGGCUGCCAGCAAAUCAGAACUAUCUGCACAUUUUCUCCUUAUCACAGCAAGAAUUCCUGCAGGCCCAGGAGGCCAGAGAACUCAGCAUCCUAACAAUUACAGCGAUUACAACUUUCUUGUGAAAUAGAGAACUCAGCAGAGGUACAAAGAGAUGUAAAUAGCAUCCAAUGAAUCAUGUGAGAAAGGUAAAGCCAAGCUGCAAAACAUCCUCUCCCUUCUUGGCUCCCAGCCUGGGGGCUCAAUCUUACCAUAAAAGUUCUUCACAGAUUAUCUAGCAGCAGAGCAUAUAAAUCUCCUUUUAUUUCAAAGCAGUAGGUAAUCAAUACCCUAAAUAAGGCAAAAACACAACUCUCUUUGGAAGAUUGUUUUCUUGAUAGAAGACAGGGAAUAAAUAUUCCUAAUAGGUACCUACUUACUUUUAAAUAAUAAUGGCAUCAGCUCAGUAAUCUGUGAUGCCUCAAUUAGAGCCCCAUUGUGCUAUGAGAUGUGCAAACAGGUCAAACUGGUUCAAGUUAUUCUUGUGAUAAUUUCUUAAAAUGAACAGAACAUGGGAAACAUCAAAAUGCUGAAUGUAAAACCUCAUGUAGUUCUCUCAGACAUCUUGUCUUGAGAAAUCCCCAGAAAAGAAAUGAAGCAAGCUACUGGGAUAGGCAAUCCUUAGCAUAAACAAACAAACAAAAACAAACAAACCACUGAAAACUGAUUUUACAUUCAUUCUUGUUUUGUGGAUUGUAGGGAUGAAAGGUAGAAAAGAAGUGUGCCUGGUGAAGUAACUCCCUCUUUUGAUAAUGCACACACAUGCACAUACAUUUGCCCUCUUCCUAUAUACAGUAAAGAAAUCCAUUCUGCUUUGAUUUUCACAAGUAAUAAAUGAGUCACAUCUAGAAAUAAGUUAACGUGAUUAGUACUGAAGAGCAAUCCGCUACUUUUAAUUUGCCCACUGGCAGUUUCACACACAGAUAUUUUCAGUGUCUUUUAAAUCUGAUUUUUCCAAAAUGAAACCACCUCUUAUCCCACAGUAACAUCCACUGAGAGACUGUAUUUCCCUGGUCAUUUUAAAAAUGGGUUAAAAACAUGAUGAUGGAAUGAAUUUCCAAACUUCCCUUGAUUUUGUUGGUAAUUACACAGGUAGUCUGACCACCUUUAUUCUCUCCAAAUGGUGUUUUCCAUCCCCACUACGUACAGUAAGAGACGUAGAGUCUUCAAUGCUGUUCAGCUAUGUACAACCUUUCACAGUGGAUCCAAAGAUCCUGGAGAUGUAAAAUGCAGCAGAUCAAGGUUUGUUUACUGUUAUUAUGAGAACUGAUAGAAAUUUUUCCUUUUGAAAACAAUUAUGCAGAAAACUGGGUUUCUGCUAAAGGAACACUUUCUACUAAACUUCUGUUUUCUACUGAAAAACGUCUGUACACUAAAUCUUGUACAGCAGAGGUGUUAAUGCUGCUGCAGUGAACCUGGGGAACUACUUCCAUGUAUUGCUCAUGGUCUCACCUUGGGGUCAUAUCCUGCAUGCCUCACAACCCCACAUCAGGUCCCUGUCUGGGAUGGGCUGUGUCCCUUUAACCACACGAGAACCUUUGACUUGCCCAGCCUAAAGGGAAGAGUGCAAGCCAUAAGUAUCUGUAACUAUAAAAGUCAUAAAGUGCCCUGGCACUAUUUCAGAAGCAAUAUAUUUAGAUGUUAGAGAAUGCACUUCAUCGAAACCUCACAAACUUUAUGGGAGGAAAAAAAAAAAUCCUUCCAUUUUCAGAUCCAAUUACCAUAAUGAGAAGGUGAUGUGAUAACAGUACCAGUGUCAAGUAAGAAGCAGAUAGGAGGACCUGCUCUCUGCCUGGGGGAGUUUGUGAUCUAAGUAUUUCAUCACUGCCUGCCAAAGUAAUAUGCAAAGGGAACAUUCAUGCCUUACAGUGGCUCUGCAGUCAGAAGGUCCUCUGGGUUACAGCGAGCAGACCUACAGCUCCUCCUCCUCUUCCUGUCCUCCUGGCUGUGACCUGCCAGGAAAACCAUGUCCUGAGAGGUCUUCCACCCAAAGACUUAACCAUCACAGGCACCCGUGACAGAUGUGAACCACAUGGCUGGACAGUGGAGAGCUGCUGGGACUCUGGAGAGUGAGCACCACAGGCCGGUAGGCAAGAGGUACAGGAAGAAACUUCUGCAUUCCAGUGUGAAGAUGUGCCAUGAGCACAUUCAGCAGCCCUGACCUCAAACUGGAAAGAAAGAGAGAAACUUGCAGCAGCUUUGUUCAAAAAGAGGCUCUUAAAUACAGAAUUUAGGAGACACUCAGGUCUGUCCUAGCAAUUGAAGGGUUCAACUUUUUGUCAUCAGAUCUGAAGA